rnacentral:rRNA from 1 species
AUUGAACGCUGGCGGCAGGCCUAACACAUGCAAGUCGAACGAGUGGCGGACGGGUGAGUAAUGUCUGGGAAACUGCCCGAUGGAGGGGGAUAACUACUGGAAACGGUAGCUAAUACCGCAUACCAUCGGAUGUGCCCAGAUGGGAUUAGCUAGUAGGUGGGGUAACGGCUCACCUAGGCGACGAUCCCUAGCUGGUCUGAGAGGAUGACCCGCCACACUUGGACUGAGAAACGGGCCAAGCGCCCACCGGGGGCAGGAGGGGGGAAUAUUGCACAAUGGGCCAAAAGCCUAUGCAACCAUUGCGCGUGUAUGAAGAAGGCCUUCGGGGUGGAAAGUUCUUUCAGCGAGGGGGCCGUACUCGCAGAAGAAGCACCGGCUAACUCCGUGCCAGCAGCCGCGGUAAUUC